CUAACUCCGUGCCAGCAGCCGCGGUAAUACGGAGGAUGCGAGCGUUAUCCGGGAUUCAUUGGGUUUAAAGGGUGCGUAGGCGGACUAUUAAGUCAGUGGUGAAAUCCUGCAGCUUAACUGCAGAACUGCCAUUGAUACUGAUAGCCUUGAGUUUGGUUAAGGUAGGCGGAAUGUGUAAUGUAGCGGUGAAAUGCUUAGAUAUUACACAGAACACCAAUUGCGUAGGCAGCUUACUGAGCCGACACUGACGCUGAGGCACGAAAGCGUGGGGAUCGAACAGGAUUAGAUACCCUGGUAGUCCACGCCGUAAACGAUGAUUACUCGCUGUUGGCGAUACACUGUCAGCGGCUAAGCAAAAGCAAUAAGUAAUCCACCUGGGGAGUACGGCCGCAAGGUUGAAAUUCAAAGGAAUUGACGGGGGCCCGCACAAGCGGAGGAACAUGUGGUUUAAUUCGAUGAUACGCGAGGAACCUUACCUGGGCUUAAAUGUAGAGUGCAUUUUCUAGAGAUAGGAAUUCCCUUCGGGGCUUUCUGCAAGGUGCUGCAUGGUUGUCGUCAGCUCGUGCCGUGAGGCGUCGGGUUAAGUCCCAUAACGAGCGCAACCCUUAUCGUUAGUUGCCAUCUGGUAAAGCAGGGGACUCUAGCGAAACUGCCACCGUAAGGUGAGAGGAAGGUGGGGAUGACGUCAAAUCAGCACGGCCCUUAUGUCCAGGGCUACACACGUGUUACAAUGGUCGGUACAGAGGGCAGCUACCUGGUGACAGGAUGCUAAUCUCGAAAACCGGUCUCAGUUCGGAUCGAAGUCUGCAACUCGACUUCGUGAAGCUGGAUUCGCUAGUAAUCGCGCAUCAGCCAUGGCGCGGUGAAUACGUUCCCGGGCCUUGUACACACCGC
rnacentral:rRNA from 1 species